CGGAACAGUCUCCCCGUGUUCAGCGUGAUCUCAGCUUUCAAUGGGACUUCUCAUUCUGAGAAUCGCCCUCUGGCACACGGUUGUUUGAUGGAAGAAUAACAAAGCGCUGCAGAGUGAGCCUCCCUGUCCUUGACCAACGGAUAUGGCAGUGACACAGAAGACGAGGCAGAUCCAUGCCUGGUCUGGGGAAAGUAAUUUAUUUCCGUUGACCCGUUCGGUCAAGUGGAGUGAAGCUGAGCUUCCAUACUGCCAAAGCCACUUCUGCAAUUACUGAGUGUGAUGGGUCUAAGAUUUUGUUAAGAUACAGCAGUCUGGACCCUUUCUCUCUUGUUGACACCAUUAAGCCGUCACUGAGGUUGGAGAGUGUCAGACACUGAGUGGCUGUCGCUCACCCAUGGCCACACAACAGCUGUUUAAGCUGAUUCUCAUCAGCACUGCUACCCAACCUAGUGGUUCCUUUGUAUUGUAUUACAAUUUGAGCUUGGGGGAGUUGGCGUGCUUGAUAGUUGGAUGACAUUCACUAUUGUCUUACAAAAUGGCAUUGGUUUCCCGCUUAAAGUUGGACCUGGUAGUCAAACUCAAAAAGCUUAAUUACUGUCUGUUCAGUUGUUCCCACCGAAUAGCACGCUGGUUUCCCAAUGUCGAAAACGAAUACCAUUUAACAAAC